GAUAAAUUAAGAAAAGACAAAAGCUAAAACAGGGAAGCAUCUCAAUCUAUCUCCAUGCCUCAAAUCCUUUCUCUUUCCUCACGCCAUUCUUCUUCAACUCACCUUGAGGCUUGCAAUCAGGUGGUUCUUCAAAGAGAGAUAAAGAAAGCUGUUUAUGAGCAACGCCAAUGUCGAACAUUAUAAGCCCUGAUCUCGGGUCAUCAACAAUGAUAUCUUUAACAGGCAACCAAAGGAAGAGUUCUUCUUGGGAUAAAC
rnacentral:misc_RNA from 1 species